rnacentral:misc_RNA from 1 species
GAUGAAGAACGUAGCGAAAUGCGAUAAUUAAUGUGAAUUGCAGAAUUCAGUGAAUCAUCGAAUCUUUGAACGCACCUUGCGCCCUUUGGCCAUUCCGAAGGGCAUGCCUGUUUGAGUAUCAUGAACACCUCAACUCUUUAUGGUUUUCCAUGAUGAGCUUGGACUCUGGGGGUUUUGCUGGCUCACAGUCGGCUCCUCUAAAAUGAAUCAGCUUACCAGUGUUUGGUGGGUAUCAUGGGUGUGAUAACUAUCUACGCUUGUGGUUUUUCCACCAGGUAACCUUCAGCAGUGGAGGUUCGCUGGAGCUCAUAGAUGUCUCUCCUCAGUGAGGACAGCCCUUUGAAUGUUUGAUCUCAAAUCAGGUAGGACUACCCGCUGAACUUAAGCAUAUCAAUAAGCGGAGGA